AGUAGGUGAACACUAUAUCACAGCGGCUGUGCCGUUCCCCUCCUCUCCUCCCGCCUAGAUGUGUUAUCAUCUCACGCCACCACAAGAAGCCACUGAUGGACAGCAAAUAAUCUCCAUUUCCUCGUGAAGGACACUGAUGGAUGCCCCCAGCAUACCAGAAGCUCGUGAUGCUAGCCUGUUCUCAAGGACUCUCAUGCCCAACCAACUGGAAACGUUUCCUCGAGCAGGAACAGAGAAGGGUAAAGGAUAACUGGUGACUGUGGUGACUUCCAUAGAACCCAGAGUGCUUGAGAAGUGUGUGAAGGCAUCUGAGCAAAAAGGUUGUGAACAGUGAACCAAGGAACAUACUGUGGUGUGUUUCUGCUCACAAAUUUUCCAUUGAAUAAAGGCAUAAGCCGUUUAAUAGAGCUAACUUGUUGUGGGACUGUUUCUGACAAGAGGCAUGGGAGUUAGUCACAGCAAGUGGCCAACCUGCAAGCUCUUUGGGAGU